AAUAGAGUAGUGCUACAUAGAAGCCACUGUAGCAGUGCACACAUUGCACUCACUACGUGGCUUCUGUUUUUUUUUUUAAAAACCAAACAUGCGUUUUACUUCUCGGUUGAUUUCUCUUCCCCAUUCGAAUUUCAGAGCCCCGCGAAAUACCUCCUCCCUCUCCCGCAUCACAUCACCUUUCUCUACCCAGCACCACCCGGCGACGCUGUCUUUCUGUCCAACGACACCGAGCGACGCUCCUCCGUCUGCCCAGCGUUACCACUUCCUGAGAUCAAAUCAUUGAACGGAGCAAACCAUAUUUAAAUCCCAUGAAGACCCCCCUCCUCCCUCACCAAGCAACCUAUGUCACGGCAUUUGACCUCUGCCCAGCACCACCCUGCAAAGCUCAUCCAUCUGCCCAGGUCUGCCCCUCCCCCGAGCUCAUUUAACGGAAACUAGCGACACUGCUAUGGUGGAGCUCUCUUUCGCCGCCGUCCCUUGGAGGGCAUCGUAGGUAACAUUUCAAGGACAAAUUUGGUUUCUUCUUGUGUACUGAGAGGGGUGAGUUUUGGGUUGUUGUGAGAUGGGUAUUGCAGCUUAGGGAAUGGAGUGUCGAAAUCAUUUGCAUCUUUAACAUCUUCUUGCUCCGUCAUAAAUAAUUUUUUCACAUUUACACAAAAAAUAGAAUUUUUACAAACAACAUCAAUCUCUCUCUCUCUCUCUCUCUCUCUCUUGAAAAGCAAGUUCGUGUAAUAUUUCCAGAACUCUAGAGAGCUUCCAACGGACGUGGUUUGUGCUCCAAAACUUGAGAACUGAUAUUGCUACCUGUUGAGACUCUCAGUGCUUGAAACUAUCGAAGAAAGUUUGAGGAUUAAUGGCUUUCAUCUUUGAAUUAUUAUAGUUCUGCUUCUUUUAAAUUAUUCUCUUUAAUGCUCUAAAAUUAUGUCUCGUUUCAUGUUUCUCAUAUUUCUUUUUUUUGUCUUGUGGGCUUGAAUUAUUGGUUGUUGAUUGUCUUUUUCUUUUUAAUAAUUUUAUUAUUGGUUAAUAGUUAUAUGAGGAUUAUGGUUGCAUCUUUAUGAUAAAUCAUAAAUGGGUUUUCGUUAGUUUUGAUGAACUUACAAAUUGACUGCCCCAGAUUUUACUAAAUGAUAGAUGUCUUGAGUGGCAUGUGUGAGUUCCAAGAAUUUUAUGUUAAGCAGGAGAUACAUGCAUGCGAGUUAACCCGAAGAGAACAUGUUGGCUUCAAUGACUAGGCCUGCUAAACUUUUAUGUUGGCAAAGUUCUGAAUGUAAAUAUACACCCUAAGUGGGAUUAUUAUAUUUAAAACUUUCCCAUCCACUGCAUUAUCUACAAGGUUUUUUUUUUAUUUCUCCCUUCAACUGAGCAAUUUGAUGGAGUAGAUGAUUUUACCCUUUCAUAUAUUAUGUGGUGAGCCCUUAUAGAGAACGUGUUUGAGAAAAGAGAAUGUGUUUUGAGUUAAACUAAAAGUUUUCCUGUCUUUUGUACAAAGCUCCGCCAAAAUACAGUUUUGAAGUGAGAUCAUUUUCAUUUAGGAAUUCAUCUGAUUAUGUCUAAAUGUCAGUUUAAGAGCUAUCAACUAUGAUUUCUGUUAUCUUUCAGUUUUAUGGAAACUACCUCUCCCAAUUUUCAAGAGCCAAAGAAUCACUUGUAGUAAUGUCACUGAAGCUUUUGAACAAUGUUAUUCUUCAUCUUAUAAUUUGUCAUUCUCAAAUCAUACUUUUCAUCAUUUUCAAAGGUCUUGUCAUCAUUUCUUUUCUUUUACAUUUCUUUUUUCCUUUUAUGACUUAAAGCCUUCUUUUUAGAUAUUUGUAUUUCUCAUUAAUUUGACUUUAUAUCCUCUAACAUUGUAUGAUUGACAAUCUGCUGUAGCAGGAAAGUAGUUCUAUUUUGCAAGUAACUUUAGAAGAAAAGUUUCAGGGCAGACAUUAGUGAAUCAAGAAUGCUACAAUUUUAAUUGGUUCCUGUUUAUAUUGCAGAAAUUACAUUGAAGAAUGUCAGGGGAGGUUUUACAUCACUUUCUCAGAUAGAUUUUCUUAUACUAGAUUUUCCACUGACAAUCUAAUAUGCAGACAUAUUACUCAUUUUUUAGCUUCAUUUGAUUUUGAAUUUUUCUCAAAUAAUCUACUGGUGUUGCAGCCUUGCCUCACUUGUGCUUCAUUGAGCUUUGUAAAAUUGUUUGUUUGCAAAAUUGUUUCUACCAUGUUUUGAUCAAACACCUUACUAAUGAAUUGCAUGUUUAUUGUGCAGACUUCCAUAGGAAGUGAAUCACAAUACAAAGAGGCCCCUACUGAUAUUCAUGAUGGACACAGAAUAGAAGGGACUCAACCUAGUACAAACAAGUUGUAACCUUUUGUGUAGUGUAUGAACAAGUGAACAAGUUCUGAUGCGCGUAAUUCUUUGUGAUGAAUGCUCUCUUGUAAUAAGUAUUUUGACACAAUGCUAUUUGUGAUGGAACCUUUUCUUGUAAUAAGUAUUCGAUACAGUAUUAUUUGUGAUGGAAUGCUUUCCUGUGAUGCUUUCGUGUAA